GGAGUAUGGGCCGUGUCUCAGUCCCAUUGUGGCUGAUCAUCCUCUCAAACCAGCUACUGAUCGUCGCCUUGGUGGUCCAUUACACCCCCAACUAGCUAAUCAGAUGCAGACUCAUCCUGAAGCGAUAAAUACUUUCUACGAAUAGUAUCUCAACUACGCGCAUAUGGGGUAGUUAGCAGAAGU
rnacentral:rRNA from 1 species